rnacentral:rRNA from 1 species
GGUGAGUAAUGUCUGGGAAACUGCCUGAUGGAGGGGGAUAACUACUGGAAACGGUAGCUAAUACCGCAUAACGUCGCAAGACCAAAGAGGGGGACCUUCGGGCCUCUUGCCAUCAGAUGUGCCCAGAUGGGAUUAGCUAGUAGGUGGGGUAACGGCUCACCUAGGCGACGAUCCCUAGCUGGUCUGAGAGGAUGACCAGCCACACUGGAACUGAGACACGGUCCAGACUCCUACGGGAGGCAGCAGUGGGGAAUAUUGCACAAUGGGCGCAAGCCUGAUGCAGCCAUGCCGCGUGUAUGAAGAAGGCCUUCGGGUUGUAAAGUACUUUCAGCGGGGAGGAAGGGAGUAAGGUUAAUAACCUUGCUCAUUGACGUUACCCGCAGAAGAAGCACCGGCUAACUCCGUGCCAGCAGCCGCGGUAAUACGGAAGGUGCAAGCGUUAAUCGGAAUUACUGGGCGUAAAACGCACGC